rnacentral:rRNA from 1 species
UACGUAGGGGGCAAGCGUUGUUCGGAAUUACUGGGCGUAAAGGGCGCGUAGGCGGCACAGCAAGUCGGGAGUGAAAGCCCGGGGCUCAACCCGGAACGGCUUUCGAAAUUGCUGAGCUAGAGUACAGAAGGGGCAACCGGAAUUCCCAGUGUAGCGGUGAAAUGCGUAGAUAUUGGGAAGAACACCUGAGGCGAAGGCGGGUUGCUGGGCUGAUACUGACGCUGAGGCGCGAAAGCCAGGGGAGCAAACGGGG